rnacentral:rRNA from 1 species
GGGUUGUGAGGUUAAGCGACUAAGCGUACACGGUGGAUGCCCUGGCAGUCAGAGGCGAUGAAGGACGUGCUAAUCUGCGAUAAGCGUCGGUAAGGUGAUAUGAACCGUUAUAACCGGCGAUUUCCGAAUGGGGAAACCCAGUGUGAUUCGUCACACUAUCAUUAACUGAAUCCAUAGGUUAAUGAGGCGAACCGGGGGAACUGAAACAUCUAAGUACCCCGAGGAAAAGAAAUCAACCGAGAUUCCCCCAGUAGCGGCGAGCGAACGGGGAGCAGCCCAGAGCCUGAAUCAGUGUGUGUGUUAGUGGAAGCGUCUGGAAAGGCGCGCGAUACAGGGUGACAGCCCCGUACACAAAAAUGCACAUACUGUGAGCUCGAUGAGUAGGGCGGGACACGUGGUAUCCUGUCUGAAUAUGGGGGGACCAUCCUCCAAGGCUAAAUACUCCUGACUGACCGAUAGUGAACCAGUACCGUGAGGGAAAGGCGAAAAGAACCCCGGCGAGGGGAGUGAAAAAGAACCUGAAACCGUGUACGUACAAGCAGUGGGAGCACAGAGCAAUCUGUGUGACUGCGUACCUUUUG